AACGAGGCCGACCUGCGGCUGAGUUACCUGCGGAGGGAUCAUUACAUUCAGUAGCCUAGCUACUUGUUUAUACCCUUGUUUUUUGCGUACCUAUUGUUUCCUCGGUGGGCUUGCCUGCCGAUUGGACAAAACUAUAACCUUUUUAAAUCUUCAAUCAGCGUCUGAAUUAUACAUAAUAAUUACAACUUUUAACAAUGGAUCU
rnacentral:misc_RNA from 1 species